rnacentral:rRNA from 1 species
UACGUAGGGACCAAGCGUUGUUCGGAUUUACUGGGCGUAAAGGGCGCGUAGGCGGCUUAACAAGUCACUUGUGAAAUCUCCGGGCUUAACUCGGAACGGCCAAGUGAAACUGUCAAGCUAGAGUGCAGAAGGGGCAAUCGGAAUUCUUGGUGUAGCGGUGAAAUGCGUAGAUAUCAAGAGGAACACCUGCGGCGAAGGCGGGUUGCUGGGCUGACACUGACGCUGAUGCGCGAAAGCCAGGGGAGCGAACGGG